UACGGGGGGGGCAAGCGUUGUUCGGAAUUACUGGGCGUAAAGGGUUCGUAGGUGGCCUGCUAAGUCAGACGUGAAAUCCCUCAGCUCAACUGGGGAACUGCGUCCGAUACUGGCAGGCUUGAAUCCGGGAGAGGGAUGUGGAAUUCCAGGUGUAGCGGUGAAAUGCGUAGAUAUCUGGAGGAACACCGGUGGCGAAGGCGGCAUCCUGGACCGGUAUUGACGCUGAGGCGCGAAAGCUAGGGGAGCAAACGGG
rnacentral:rRNA from 1 species